rnacentral:rRNA from 1 species
AUUGAACGCUGGCGGCAGGCCUAACCCAUGCAAGUCGAACGAGUGGCGGACGGGUGAGUAAUGUAUGGGCAACUGCCUGAUGGAGGGGGAUAACUACUGGAAACGGUAGCUAAUACCGCAUACCAUCAGCUGGGCCCAGAUGGGAUUAGCUUGUUGGUGGGGUAACCGCUCACCAAGGAGACGAUCCCUAGCUGGUCUGAGCGGAUGACCAGCCACACUGGAACUGAGACACGGUCCAGACUCCUACGUGAGGCAGCAGUUGGGAAGAUUGCACAAUGGGCGCAAGCCUGAUGCAGCCAUGCCGCGUGUAUGAAGAAGGCCUUCGGGUUGUAAAGUACUUUCAGCGGGGAGGCGUUACCCGCAGAAGAAGCACCGGCUAACUCCGUGCCAGCAGCCGCGGUAAUUC